UGCUAACGCAGCUUUUGCUCUACCUUCCAUGUAGACUCCCUCAAAAGCAAAAGACAGCGGUAGGCACUCCCAGUUUACUGGGACGGGUUGGACUGGGCCCGUCUGCCAUUCCAGCUGCCCGUGCCGUACAGCUCCAGUGGAUCAUUCCUCAUCUGCCUGACUGGUUGUGAGACUGCUAAUCCUGUCCUGUUCCAGCCUGCACACGCCAUUCACCGUCGCUCCUCCACCCCCAGUCACCUUCUGCAAAUAAACCUUCUGUCUCGCGUUGUGACAAAACCACAUUUUUACCGGGGCCGUGAAGGCAACAGCGGGCCGCCAGGCCGCGUGGAAGUGACGUUGGCUAGAGCUAAGGACGCAUCUUAGCGGCCGGCGAGCGGUGGCGUCUGGUUGGAAGUUCUCUACUUAACUUUAUUAUUAAUAGAGUCGUACAGUCGGGUUAGGAGAAGGUAAAGCGUCGGUACAAGUGGAGCAAAUUUUUGGAUAUCACCACGGAGGACAACGUAACGUGGAGCCUUUUCUGUUCCGGAGCUGCCUCUGACUGACGGGCAAACUGACUGACGCUUUGUGUUCCUCGCACCUUAACAACUAUUCCUGGUAGAGAUUAGAGGUGUUGGAGCGGAACGAGUUUGGAACUGAGUUACUUUGAUCACCUUUUGGUGCUGGAGUGAGCCUUGUUGUGAAAAGAGCUGACAGAGUGUCACUAUCCCAAGGGGACUGAGUGUUUGUCUUUAUUUCUCUUUGAUUUAUUGUUUGUUGGACCAUGCCCUGCUUUUCUUAAAAUGUUUCUGACAAUAUAUUUUCUUAAGAGAAACCAAAA